AACGUAGGAGCCAAGCGUUAUCCGAAUUCACUGGGCGUAAAGCGCGUGCAGGCGGUAUGGCAAGUUGGAUGUGAAAUCUCCCGGCUCAACUGGGAGAGGCCGUUCAAUACUGCCAAACUAGAGGGCGACAGAGGGAGGUGGAAUUCCUGGUGUAGCGGUGAAAUGCGCAGAUAUCAGGAGGAACACCAAUGGCGAAGGCAGCACUCUGGGACGGUACUGACGCUGAGACGCGAAAGCGUGGGGAGCAAACAGG
rnacentral:rRNA from 1 species